AGUGAACGCUGGCGGUAGGCCUAACACAUGCAAGUCGAACGGCAGCACAGUAAGAGCUUGCUCUUACGGGUGGCGAGUGGCGGACGGGUGAGGAAUACAUCGGAAUCUACUUUUUCGUGGGGGAUAACGUAGGGAAACUUACGCUAAUACCGCAUACGACCUACGGGUGAAAGCAGGGGAUCUUCGGACCUUGCGCGAUUGAAUGAGCCGAUGUUGGAUUAGCUAGUUGGCGGGGUAAAGGCCCACCAAGGCGACGAUCCGUAGCUGGUCUGAGAGGAUGAUCAGCCACACUGGAACUGAGACACGGUCCAGACUCCUACGGGAGGCAGCAGUGGGGAAUAUUGGACAAUGGGCGCAAGCCUGAUCCAGCCAUACCGCGUGGGUGAAGAAGGCCUUCGGGUUGUAAAGCCCUUUUGUUGGGAAAGAAAAGCAGCAGGUUAAUACCCCGCUGUUCUGACGGUACCCAAGGAAUAAGCACCGGCUAACUUCGUG
rnacentral:rRNA from 1 species